rnacentral:rRNA from 1 species
UACGGCUCAGUAACACGUGGAUAACCUACCCUUGGGACGGGGAUAAACCCGGGAAACUGGGUAUAAUACCCGAUAGUGCUUGAAUGCUGGAAUGCAUCAAGUGCAAAAGCUCCGACGCCCUAGGAUGGGUCUGCGGCCUAUCAGGUAGUAGUGGGUGUAAUGUACCUACUAGCCUACAACGGGUACGGGUUGUGAGAGCAAGAGCCCGGAGAUGGAUUCUGAGACACGAAUCCAGGCCCUACGGGGUGCAGCAGGCGCGAAACCUUUACAAUGCUGGAAACAGCGAUAGGGGAACCUCGAGUGCUAUCGUACAACGAUGGCUGUCGUUAUGCCUAAAAAGCAUGAUAUAGCAAGGGCCGGGCAAGACCGGUGCCAGCCGCCGCGGUAACACCGGCGGCUCGAGUGGUAACCGUUAUUAUUGGGUUUAAAGGGUCUGUAGCCGGCCGGAUAAGUCUCUUGGGAAAUCUGGCAGCUUAACUGUCAGGCUUUCAGGAGAUACUGUUCGGCUCGAGACCGGGAGAGGUGAGAGGUACUUCAGGGGUAGGGGUGAAAUCUUGUAAUCCUUGAAGGACCACCAGUGGCGAAGGCGUCUCACCAGAACGGAUCUGACGGCAAGGGACGAAAGCUAGGGGCACGAACCGGAUUAGAUACCCGGGUAGUCCUAGCCGUAAACAAUACUCGCUAGGUGUCGGCC